rnacentral:rRNA from 1 species
UACAGAGGAUGCAAGCGUUAUCCGGAAUGAUUGGGCGUAAAGAGCUCGUAGGCGGCCUGUCGCGUCGGCUGUGAAAACCCGGGGCUCAACCCCGGGCCUGCAGUCGAUACGGGCAGGCUAGAGUCCGGCAGGGGAGACUGGAAUUCCUGGUGUAGCGGUGAAAUGCGCAGAUAUCGGGAAGAACACCCGUGGCGAAGGCGGUUAGCUGGGCAGUUGCUGACACUGAGGCGCGACAGCGUGGGGAGCAAACAGG